rnacentral:rRNA from 1 species
AAAUUGAAGAGUUUGAUCAUGGCUCAGAUUGAACGCUGGCGGCAGGCCUAACACAUGCAAGUCGAACGGUAACAGGAAGCAGCUUGCUGCUUCGCUGACGAGUGGCGGACGGGUGAGUAAUGUCUGGGAAACUGCCUGAUGGAGGGGGAUAACUACUGGAAACGGUGGCUAAUACCGCAUAACGUCGCAAGACCAAAGAGGGGGACCUUCGGGCCUCUUGCCAUCAGAUGUGCCCAGAUGGGAUUAGCUAGUUGGUGAGGUAACGGCUCACCAAGGCGACGAUCCCUAGCUGGUCUGAGAGGAUGACCAGCCACACUGGAACUGAGACACGGUCCAGACUCCUACGGGAGGCAGCAGUGGGGAAUAUUGCACAAUGGGCGCAAGCCUGAUGCAGCCAUGCCGCGUGUAUGAAGAAGGCCUUCGGGUUGUAAAGUACUUUCAGCGGGGAGGAAGGUGUUGUGGUUAAUAACCGCAGCAAUUGACGUUACCCGCA